rnacentral:misc_RNA from 1 species
GGAUCAAUCUUUCUGAAUCCCUGUGAUCAAAUUAUGCCAUUUGCUGAGGCACCUAUAAAAUUUAAGCCAAUUACAGAAUAAAAAAUCCCUCCCCCCAAUCCCAUUUUGAGGAUAGAGAUGAAUGGGCUACAGCGUGGAAAGAGAAAAGCAAGAUCAUAUGAUGAACUCUAGCAUCACCACUAGAAGGGAAGAGAAGGAUAAAAAGAAUGGAUGGCAAGAAACUUGCAGGAUAUCAAGAAGUCUAGAAAUAAAUUUAACCAUCCAAAUAACACCACCUUUGAUAAAUGGGAAACUUUCCUCAACAACAAAAAAAAAAAUGCAAGGUUAAAUUACUUAAUUCAUAAGAACAACGAGUCACAAGAUAAUAAAUUUAAUUUCAUUCUAAAAAAUCCCAGGCAAAAGAGAAAGACUGUCAAAACUAAAUGAGUUAUUCACCAAGCAUGGAUCCAACUAAACUUGAGAGAAAGAUGAUAGCAGCAAUUUAUCUCUGAAUGUAAAGGCUCUUGUAUUUGCAUGAUAUGCGUUAUACAUAAAAUGACAAUUAUAUCCAUCUAAUUAUUGUUCUAAAGCUAAUUACUUGUAAUUGAUCUUUAUCUUGCAACUGAGAUACAAGCUUUCCAAGCAUACAAAAUUCUUUCAUUUCUUAAUUCUCCUAGACUAAAUUCAAGCUUUAAGGAUAUGGCCAUUAAACAUUGAGGAUUACCAUUUAAAUUCACAAUAUUCUUGAAUUAGAGAACACUACAAAAUCACAAUUAUUCAUUGAACUGUCUCAUUUCCAUCAGUAAAGAAACAAAUAUCUUGAAAACAAGGUCCAAACUUAAAACAGUCCCACUAAGCACUAACCGCAAAAUAACAAUAACAAUCCUAUUGAAAAAAGAAAAGAGAAAAAAAAAAGGGCGAACUCACAUAGGUGUUUAAUUGCCUGAUGAAGCUGGAG